rnacentral:rRNA from 1 species
CCCUUAGAUGUUCUGAGCUGCACGCGCGCUACACUGAUGCGAUCAACAAGUUUUUCCUAUGUCGAUAGACACGGGUAAUCUUUUGAACUCGCAUCGUGAUGGGGAUAGAUUAUUGUAAUUAUUAAUCUUCAACGAGGAAUUCCUAGUAGGUGCAAAUCAUCAGUUUGCAUCGAUUACGUCCCUGCCCUUUGUACACACCGCCCGUCGCUGCUACCGAUUGGUUGAUCUGGUGAAUUAUUCGGACUGCCGGCUGAAGGGGUUUCCUCAUCUGCCAGCGGAAAGUCUUGUUAACCCUAUCAACUAGAGGAAGCAGAAGUCGUAACA